rnacentral:rRNA from 1 species
CCUACGGGUGGCAGCAGUGGGGAAUAUUGCACAAUGGGCGAAAGCCUGAUGCAGCAACGCCGCGUGAAGGAAGAAGGGUUUCGGCUCGUAAACUUCUAUCAACAGGGACGAAAGAAAUGACGGUACCUGUAUAAGAAGCCCCGGCUAAAUACGUGCCAGCAGCCGCGGUAAUACGUUGGGGGCAAGCGUUAUCCGGAAUUACUGGGUGUAAAGGGUGGGUAUGCGGCAUGGUAAGCCAGAUGUGAAAGCCUUGGGCUUAACCCGAGGAUUGCAUUUGGAACUAUCAAGCUAGAGUACAGGAGAGGAAAGCGGAAUUCCUAGUGUAGCGGUGAAAUGGGUAGAUAUUAGGAAGAACACCAGUGGCGAAGGCGGCUUACUGGACUGUAACUGACGUUGAGGCUCGAAAGCGUGGGGAGCAAACAGGAUUAGAUACCCUGUAGUC